rnacentral:rRNA from 1 species
AAGCCAUAGAAAGUGAUAGCCUUGUAUGCGACAAGGCGUUCUUAGGUAGCAGGAUCCAGAGUAGGCCAGGACACGAGGAAUCCAGGUUGAAGCCGGGGAGACCACUCUCCAACCCUAAAUACUACUCUUUGAGCGAUAGCGAACAAGUACCGUGAGGGAAAGGUGAAAAGAACCGCAGUGAGCGGAGUGAAAUAGAACCUGAAACCAUCUGCUUACAAUCAUUCAGAGCCCUAUGAUUUAUCAGGGUGAUGGACUGCCUUUUGCAUAAUGAUCCUGCGAGUUGUGGUAUCUGGCAAGGUUAAGCGAAUGCGAAGCCGUAGCGAAAGCGAGUCUUAAUAGGGCGAACAAGUCAGAUGCUGCAGACCCGAAGCUAAGUGAUCUAUCCAUGGCCAAGUUGAAACGCGUGUAAUAGCGCGUGGAGGACUGAACUCGUACCCAUUGAAACGGGUUGGGAUGAGCUGUGGAUAGGGGUGAAAGGCCAAACAAACUUAGUGAUAGCUGGUUCUCUUCGAAAUAUAUUUAGGUAUAGCCUCAAGUGAUAAUAAAAGGGGGUAGAGCGCUGAUUGGGCUAGGGCUGCUCGCCGCGGUACCAAACCCUAUCAAACUCCGAAUACCUUUUAUCGUAUCUUGGGAGUCAGGCGGUGGGUGAUAAAAUCAAUCGUCAAAAGGGGAACAACCCAGACUACCAAAUAAGGUCCCUAAGUUCUAUUCUGAGUGGAAAAAGAUGUGUGGCUACUCAAACAACCAGGAGGUUGGCUUAGAAGCAGCCAUCCUUUAAAGAAAGCGUAACAGCUCACUGGUCUAGUGGUCAUGCGCUGAAAAUAUAACGGGGCUAAGAUAGACACCGAAUUUGUAGAUUGUGUUAAACACAGUGGUAGAAGAGCGUUCAUACCAGCGUUGAAGGUAUACCGGUAAGGAGUGCUGGAGCGGUAUGAAGUGAGCAUGCAGGAAUGAGUAACGAUAAGAUAUAUGAGAAUUGUAUCCGCCGUAAAUCUAAGGUUUCCUACGCGAUGGUCGUCAUCGUAGGGUUAGUCGGGUCCUAAGCCGAGUCCGAAAGGGGUAGGUGAUGGCAAAUUGGUUAAUAUUCCAAUACCGACUAUGGAGCGUGAUGGGGGGACGCAUAGGGUUAAGCGAGCUAGCUGAUGGAAGCGCUAGUCUAAGGGCGUAGAUUGGAGGGAAGGCAAAUCCACCUCUGUAUUUGAAACCCAAACAGGCUCUUUGAGUCCUUUUAGGACAAAGGGAGAAUCGCUGAUACCGUCGUGCCAAGAAAAGCCUCUAAGCAUAUCCAUAGUCGUCCGUACCGCAAACCGACACAGGUAGAUGAGAUGAGUAUUCUAAGGCGCGUGAAAGAACUCUGGUUAAGGAACUCUGCAAACUAGCACCGUAAGUUCGCGAUAAGGUGUGCCGCAGCAAUGCGGUCUCAGCAAAGAGUCCCUCCCGACUGUUUACCAAAAACACAGCACUUUGCCAACUCGUAAGAGGAAGUAUAAGGUGUGACGCCUGCCCGGUGCUCGAAGGUUAAGAGGAUGCGUCAGUCGCAAGAUGAAGCGUUGAAUUGAAGCCCGAGUAAACGGCGGCCGUAACUAUAACGGUCCUAAGGUAGCGAAAUUCCUUGUCGGUUAAAUACCGACCUGCAUGAAUGGCGUAACGAGAUGGGAGCUGUCUCAACCAGAGAUUCAGUGAAAUUGUAGUGGAGGUGAAAAUUCCUCCUACCCGCGGCAAGACGGAAAGACCCCGUGGACCUUUACUACAACUUAGCACUGCUAAUGGGAAUAUCAUGCGCAGGAUAGGUGGGAGGCUUUGAAGUAAGGGCUUUGGCUCUUAUGGAGCCAUCCUUGAGAUACCACCCUUGAUGUUUCUGUUAGCUAACUGGCCUGUGUUAUCCACAGGCAGGACAAUGCUUGGUGGGUAGUUUGACUGGGGCGGUCGCCUCCUAAAAAG